GGACCCGCACAAGUAGUGGAGCAUGUGGUUUAAUUCGAAGAUACGCGCAGAACCUUACCAACACUUGACAUGUUCGUCGCGACUUUAAGAGAUUAAAGUUUUCGGUUCGGCCGGACGAAACACAGGUGCUGCAUGGCUGUCGUCAGCUCGUGUCGUGAGAUGUUGGUUAAGUCCCGCAACGAGCGCAACCCUCACUUUUAGUUGCCAUCAUUUAGUUGGGCACUCUGAAAGAACUGCCAGUGAUAAGCUGGAGGAAGGUGGGGAUGACGUCAAGUCCUCAUGGCCCUUACGUGUUGGGCUACACACGUGCUACAAUGGUAGGUACAGAGGGAAGCCACCCGCGAGGGGGGAGCGGA
rnacentral:rRNA from 1 species